AGUGAACGCUGGCGGUAGGCCUAACACAUGCAAGUCGAACGGCAGCACAGUAAGAGCUUGCUCUUACGGGUGGCGAGUGGCGGACGGGUGAGGCAUACAUCGGAAUCUACUUUUUCGUGGGGGAUAACGUAGGGAAACUUACGCUAAUACCGCAUACGACCUACGGGUGAAAGCAGGGGAUCUUCGGACCUCGCGCGAUUGAAUGAGCCGAUGUCGGAUUAGCUAGUUGGCGGGGUAAAGGCCCACCAAGGCGACGAUCCGUAGCUGGUCUGAGAGGAUGAUCAGCCACACUGGAACUGAGACACGGUCCAGACUCCUACGGGAGGCAGCAGUGGGGAAUAUUGGACAAUGGGCGCAAGCCUGAUCCAGCCAUACCGCGUGAGUGAAGAAGGCCUUCGGGUUGUAAAGCCCUUUUGUUGGGAAAGAAAAGCAGCAGGUUAAUACCCCGCUGUUCUGACGGUACCCAAAGAAUAAGCACCGGCUAACUUCGUG
rnacentral:rRNA from 1 species